rnacentral:lncRNA from 11 species
AGCUGCUCCGCGCAUUAAGAAGAAAGGACUCACGAACGGACCAUUUCGGCUCGACAGCGGAAGAGAAGAAGCUUCUGUAAUGAAAUGUGAAGAUCCAACUGUCCGGUGCUAUCGUAACAUCGCUAUCGAAGGCACAGAUGCCUUCGCCCUACCCACCGUACAAUUCGACGUGCCCACUUCUGUUUUCGAACUUUCAAACAUCAUAAGACCAGAAAACCUAUCUAUCUUCAAAUCGCCUACAAACUGCAGUUUCGAGAAGUCUUUUCUUAACGUUAUCUAUAAAAGGAGAGAACCACAUUGUACUUAGGCCUCUAAAGCAGAUAACAUUAAAGUGUAUACAUUAAUUUCAGGUGAACAAAAUGCUCACCGACUUUUUGCUGAAAGCUUACAAAUGUGGGCUAAUGCGGGUAGGGCCUCGAGAAACAGUGCUCGUAUGUUUUCGAGGACCGAAAUUAGGGUCAACUGAGUAACAUACAUCCGGUGUACGAUUCUCAUCGAUUCCCGUUUCAGCUGAACAUGCCACACACGUAGGAUCCAAAUGUCCUUUAAAAGGCAACAUCUUCCAGACAUUUGAUGUUUUUAGCGAACAAAGGCCUGAAUAUACACACAUCGAGCUGUCAUACAGACCUUGGCGUAUGUCCUUUGAUUUCGAAGAAGCUACGCGGCGUUCAGUGUACGUAUGGCGUGCGACAUAGAUUUCUUGGCAAGAUGUCGGCUAAGGCAGCAGGGAUAUGGCAGCUGACUGAAUUAGUUAGAAGUAAAGAUAUGUUUGACGUGAUGUUUAACCUGUGAGAGAGCCGAGAGGGAUGGCGCAUGUCCAACAACAGGUGAGGAGGAUCUAACAGAGUGAUGGAAUACACAACACGACCCUACUGGUGACCUGCUAAGGAAACGGUAGGUCAUGAUAAGGCGGCGCCAUCACGAUCCACUAAUCCCAGGCACAGCAGACCUUUCAUGCUCAGAGAUUGCUAAAUCGUCUUCAUCCGGUGAGCAGUAAAGAAGAGAAUAUGACCGAGCUAUCGUGCGGCAAAUUCACAAUUGGGUGUUUCAUAUCGCGCCUACUAGCAACAUGAAAGUUAAAGAUUUACCAAAGUUCCCAGUAGGAUUGAGAAGCAGGUAUUACUGUUUUGAGGAGCUCGUCAAGCGACCACCGGAACGUGAAAUAACAUUGACAUAAUUUCAUUUUCUCUGUCUCGCUGAUUAUUUGCUACAAACGCAUACAGUCAAGUAUAUAAAUAGUUAACGGGAUAGCUAAUAGAGCUAAAAGGCAGACAGAGGCGAUGUACGCUCCAUUAAAGCAGGUGCUGUUGCUCUUAUGAACCAAACUUUAUUAUGCUACAAGUUGUUAUUACGGGCAAAAGUUUUCAUGUACGGAAAUUGUAACCAUUUAACUUUAAACCUCACUCUUCGUCUGCGAAAGCUCUCCAUCAAAUUAGAUUAUGAGAAAAAAUAUUUUCUGCCAACAUAGGCUUAUAUAACCUUUAGCCUUUUGCGAAAUUUUACAGCCUGCGUGACCCUGUUUGAAUAUUUAUUGAAGUCCGUUAUUGUAAGGUUGAACCCUAUCGACUCGAAUAUUCAUGCAGAAGCCGUACUUUCCAUGGCGCAACGAAGAAGGACCGAUACGAAUUUAUUUCAGAUAUGUAAAACAGACAUUUUAAUCUACCACAUGUAAAUGCACACCAUUGCUAUAGGCUCAAUUACAUAAUUCACAGCACAGAUUUAGGAAACGGUUUAAUCAGUCAUAAAACAAUUCAGCAAAUCGGCAACUAUUAUAUAUUUAGUACGAUUCUAUUUCCGUAGAAAUUUAAAAGUAAGAUUAAGCUUUACUGGGAAAGCGGGAAUAAGAUAGAAGCCCCUCAGAGUAAAAGAUUUCACUUGUUCUCAUGGUGACAUAAUCUAUAUAACCAAGAUAGAGCAAGGUAUAGCGUUCCCACUAAAGCCGGCUCGCUCGCUCGCUCGCUCGCUCACUCACUCACUCACUCACUCACUCACUCACUCGUAAAAUUGCCGCCUUGCGCCUUCAACACGUGUCCCAAAUACCCCCUCACUUGCCCCGCCUUCGUUUUCACUUGGCCGCUUACACGCAAAUGCCAAAGGAAAUGACAAAGUCCUAAACGGUAGAAAAGGCUAACGAAGUAGCGAUUCUCAAGAGACUUGCCAGGAGGACUGUGUCAAGCUGGGUCAAUGAUAGCCAAUCAACGCAGCGGACUGACUGACUGACUGACUGACUAGCAGAAGAAUCAACAAUCUCGGACGAGGGUGCCAAAGUCAACAGAACAUGCCACUGAAAUAGAAGCGAUUGAGGGAUAAAGCGGGCAUCCAAGCAAUAUGAUAAGCCAAUCAGCGACCCAUUCUUGUGGAAAAACAGCCGUAUGUGUCAGCAAAUGAACAUUAAGUGCGUCGUUUGGUAGUGAGUAAAGACGCUGCAAUAAACGAUGAACAGCGCCAUGGAAACGACGAGUUUUAAACAGGCAAGACAAAAAAAAUCUCUAAUUGCCAACGCCAUAGAGUUAAUUGAGAAACAAGACUUUUCAAAACAGGCCAUUGAGAGCCUGCUGUGUUUGUAUUUCUGUAAAUCAAAAGCGUGUUCGACUUCCAGCUGGGAAACAAACAAAUCAUUUAUAAUUCAAUAAAAUGCGUUGGUAAAGCUUCGAUUAGGUCAGCUUUUUCAGCUAUCACCUAUCCUACAAUAGAAAUGCAUGUGAAUUUUUCCGCUAGGGGAUCUUAAUGGCUUUUAGUCGUUCCCGUAAGCGUAUACCCCUUUUUCUAGACGUAAGGCAUUUUGUAUCAACUACUACAUUUUACGAACAAAUUGUUGAAUAACGCACAGUCACUCCAGCUGAUUACCAGACCGGAAGUCGCUUUAUUAAAGCGAUCGUGAGAUUCAAAGAAGGCGGCAAUAAAAAUAGUGGGAAUAAUACUUGCAGCCACAUCUAUACGACAAAACGUCUUGAUCAAAUGGUUAAGUGUCAAAUAAUUUUUGAGGCACAAAUCAUCUAAAAAUGACAUAGACGACUAUGCAUAAGAUACAUGUUAUAUAUAUAUAUAUAUAUAUAUAUAAAUUACGUAUCAUAUAAUAUUUAUAUAUUUAAUAACAGUAUUACAUGAAGACGCCACAUUCUGUCGAACGAAUGUCUCAAGGGAAUACACUUGAAGCAAAUCGCUUGAACAGCUCAAUUGUAGCGAGGGGGUAGACAGAUCUCCGACGAUCAACGAAGAAUAUGAAGUUCUGAGGGUCGUCCACACAUUCUAUCAGAAGUGGCGGCACGUGCAAAGCGUCCCGCCUCUGGUGAUGUAAGCGUGUGGUACGGAUACCGCGUUGCCGCGGAUACCGAGUUCAUUGAGAUCAUCGCGACCUGGCUAACUCUGAUAGCUACACCUCAGUGCGUCCAGCAGGUCGGGCGACAAGCCUGAGCUGAAGAGCUGAGAUUAGCUUGAUAGUUUCGUCGCCAGCGACGUCGUACAGAGCGCUUACCCGGAACCCCAGCCAUCUCCCUCGUAUCCUGCUGUCGUCAUAAUGCGCUGCCGCGGUUCUUCGGCUCCGCCCCAUCCUUCGCGGCGCACUCGACCCCUCUGACGGCGCGGCCAAAGGACGGGAGACCCGAGAGAUACACUCCCCAAGUGAGAGCUUACCGCCAAAGUUGACUUUACACUGAACGCUGGAAUAGGGAGCACUACGCCUACCGGCAGCUUUGGCCAGAUUCGCUGCCAGACUGACCGGCAUUGUGCCAGUAACAGCACUCUUCUUUUCUGGGACAUCAGUUAGUGAUGGGGAAGCGAGAAAAUGGUGCCGUUGACACAGUUCCCUAAUUGUGGUAAUCGGUGGCACAAACGGCCCUGCCCAGUCCGACAACGCAGGCGACGAAUGGCGUACCAUCGUCAGUCAUGGACCGUACGGCCCCUGCUACCAUAGGUGUAAAUGACUGUCAAGUCAAGCGUUUCCUGGGAAAUCAAGUGGAUCAAGGAAGAAAUAAAACUGGCUUGACAAAACAGCAAGAUCCAGGGGAUUAGGAGCAACGUCCUUAUCCGUCAGAACACUCAGAUUUAUCACUAUAAUACAGAGCGGUGUCAUCAUCAUAACCAGAAAUUAAAAAGGGAGCGUCGCAAGAAGGGCUUCGGUAUUUCUGCCUGGUGCGGCGUUCUGCGGGAGCCUCAGAUCGUCCUCAACAAGAUCUAGCAGACGAAAGAUGUACAAAGACGCGGAUCGUCCUAACGAUGAACUACAGCCCGUCACUUCGAACUCAACUCCCGCCAUACAGAACUCUGCUAAGGAGGAUGUUUUUAACGCUUUCAAUACCCAUAGCAUUUUACCUUUUGCUAUCCCACGAAAGUCCGCACGUAGUUAGUCGUACCGACGAGCCGCUUGCAUACAUGAUGAUCAUCAUGGUGCAUAUUAUCAUACAAGUAUUGAAUCAACAUUAUUACUAAUAUCUAUAAUCACAACCUAUGACCCCUUUCCCUGGGAAAAGCCUCUGUUACCGGCGAUUGCCCAGUAUCGAAUUUGGUGUUUUCCUGAUGUAAAUUAAAUGGCUUAAAGUAAUAACCGACACCAUGGUCCGAAAGUUCUCACGAAUAUUUUGUUCUGCUCUUAAUGAUGAAAUAACUGAUAUUUAUUAUGGAAUUGUUAUUUCGUAUGUUUUACCAAACAUCUUUAGAUGUCUUGAGUUCAUAAAUCAAAAAUAGUUCCAAAUGCUUAACGCAGCCAUGCAUAGGCUUCCUCUUAUAAGAUCAAUAUCUUAUGUCUAAAAAUCAUUUCAUUAACCUAGAGGUAACUUAGAACUUUUGUAUACGACAAAGAGAAGGUAAUGAUUUUGACAACAAUAAACCUGCAGACGGACAGUAUUCUAUCGAUGGAUAAUUACUACAGCGGUAUAACAAGCAUGAGCAAAAAACUAGUAUAUUAAUUAACCAUGACGUUCGAACGUACAGUGAGCAAAUCCACGUCACUGAAAGGAUAAUGAGCCUGGAUUUUAGUAACAGGCAUCUUUAGGACCCAUUUUAUAAACUACGAUGCACCCCAGUUGGAGCUGCCUGUACGUAAAGUAAUAGUUCUAUGAAUAUCAAUAAUAGAAUAUAACCCCAUAUUUGUUCUACCGCUGAUUAGUUCAGCUAAUCUGAUCUGCCCAUGUCACAUCUGCCCACGUUGCAGACGCCCUGCCUUAUCUAUCCUAUUUUACCAUAGGAACGAU